rnacentral:rRNA from 1 species
GACAUAAUGCAACUAGCACAAUUAUACGACCGUACCGCAAACCGACACUGGUGCGCGAGAUGAGUAUUCUAAGGCGCUUGAGAGAACUCAGGAGAAGGAACUCGGCAAAUUGACACCGUAACUUCGGAAGAAGGUGUGCCCUAUUAGUGUGAAGUGAACAACGGAGCAUGAAUGGGUUGCAAAAAAUCGGUGGCUGCGACUGUUUAUUAAAAACACAGCACUCUGCAAACACGAAAGUGGACGUAUAGGGUGUGACGCCUGCCCGGUGCUGGAAGAUUAAAUGAUGGGGUGCAAGCUCUUGAUUGAAGUCCCAGUAAACGGCGGCCGUAACGAUAACGGUCCUAAGGUAGCGAAAUUCCUUGUCGGGUAAGUUCCGACCUGCACGAAUGGCGUAACGAUGGCCACACUGUCUCCUCCUGAGACUCAGCGAAGUUGAAAUGUUUGUGAUGAUGCAAUCUCCCCGCGGAAAGACGGAAAGACCCCAUGAACCUUUACUGUAGCUUUGUAUUGGACUUUGAACAGAUCUGUGUAGGAUAGGUGGGAGGCUUUGAAGCAGGGUCGCUAGAUCUUGUGGAGCCAACGUUGAAAUACCACCCUGGUGUGUUUGAGGUUCUAACCUAGGUCCAUUAUCUGGAUCGGGGACAGUGCAUGGUAGGCAGUUUGACUGGGGCGGUCUCCUCCCAAAGCGUAACGGAGGAGUUCGAAGGUACGCUAGUUACGGUCGGACAUCGUGACGAUAGUGCAAUGGCAUAAGCGUGCUUAACUGCGAGACUGACAAGUCGAGCAGAUGCGAAAGCAGGACAUAGUGAUCCGGUGGUUCUGUAUGGAAGGGCCAUCGCUCAACGGAUAAAAGGUACUCUGGGGAUAACAGGCUGAUACCGCCCAAGAGUUCAUAUCGACGGCGGUGUUUGGCACCUCGAUGUCGGCUCAUCUCAUCCUGGGGCUGUAGCCGGUCCCAAGGGUAUGGCUGUUCGCCAUUUAAAGAGGUACGUGAGCUGGGUUUAAAACGUCGUGAGACAGUUUGGUCCCUAUCUUCCGUGGGCGCUGCAGAUUUGAGGAAGCCUGCUCCUAGUACGAGAGGACCGGCGUGGACACACCUCUGGUGUAUCGGUUGUCACGCCAGUGGCAUUGCCGAGUAGCUAAGUGUGGAAGAGAUAACCGCUGAAAGCAUCUAAGCGGGAAACUCGUUUCAAGAUGAGAUCUGCCGGGGCCUUGAGCCCCCUGAAGAGUCGUUCAAGACCAGGACGUUGAUAGGUCAGGUGUGGAAGC